UACGUAGGGGGCAAGCGUUGUCCGGAUUUAUUGGGCGUAAAGAGCGUGUAGGCGGCUGGGUAGGUCCGUUGUGAAAACUCGAGGCUCAACCUCGAGACGCCGAUGGAAACCCCCCAGCUAGAGUCCGGAAGAGGAGAGUGGAAUUCCUGGUGUGAGCGGUGAAAUGACGCAGAUAUCAGGAAGAACACCCGUGGCUAAGGCGGCUCUCUAGUACGGUACUGACGCUGAGACGCGAAAGCGUGGGGAGCGAACAGG
rnacentral:rRNA from 1 species